UCCUAGGCAUCUUAGUCAAUUUGGACUGCUGUAACAGAAUACCAUAGACUGGAUGGCUUAAACAACAGAAGUGUAUUUCUCACAAUUCUGAAGGCUGAGAAGUUCAAAAUACUGACAGACUCAGUAUCCGAUGAGGGCACAUUUCCUGAUAUGCGGACAACUGUGUUCUCCAACUCCAGAGAGUUGUAUCCUCCAGUGGUGAAGAACAGAGAAAGCAUGCUCUCAUGUCUCUUCUUAUAAAGGAACUGUGUUGUUGUCAGAAUGUCAAAACAAUUGCACUUUGCUCCUUUACCCUGAAUGCCCUAACCCGGAAGACAGGCAAUGUUGCUGCAGGAAUACACUGGGCUGAUUGCUCUGCUAACCGUAGGAGGUGCUAAAGUAGAUCCACUUUGAUACUGCCAUCCUCUCUGCAGCCUUAAACAUCAUGAGUUUCUCUGUUGGUGAUAUUCUUGGUGAACUGCUUUGAGAGGCCCCUGUCAUUACAAUCGAAGAAUCAUGGAUGUCAUUGCAUUUUGAAGAACUCCAUGAGGACUCCACCUGAAAAUAAGCUGCUGAAGGAUCAUCAAAACUAAAGAUUUUUUCAGAGCAACUAAGUUUUAAAAAUAAGAGCUGUGAUUUAACUAUGGUUUCCAUAUUUAUAUGCUAUUUAUGAAUCAUACAGUUAAUUUGAUAAGACAGGUAAUACAGAUAAGACAUGAUGCAUUUUUGUUUUAAUUUAUUAUCUGAAGCUGCAGUAAACAUUUAAGUUCACUAGACUGAUAACAGCUAAUACUAUUUAUUGUUAGGAUUGCAAAAUCUGCCUAUGAGUGAUCCUCUCUGUCUUUUAAGUCAAAUAUGUGAAUUUGCUUCCCAAGUAUAUCUUUAAAGACUUCUGAAGCAAUCUUGUGCAACGACACUUUUUCUACAAAGCCUAUCAGGAUCUGUUGGCUGAACUUUACAGAUGAAAUAUGGUAGAACCAAUUUUUCAUGUAAGGGAGAAGCUCUAAAGAGACAAGCUAAUAAAUGCCCUGAUGAUGCCCAAACUCACAUGGGUUUGGUCCCUCAGAACCUUUCAGCCACAAUAUCAGAGUAUUGUGAGUAAUGGAUUAGUUCCUUCUAGAAAGAGGCCAGAUCAUCUGUUUUUGUUACUUUGAUGAUUCAUUAUUCUGUAAGUCUGAAAUAGAAAGACCUGGAGCCUAAGAAAAGGCCUCCACCUUAGGGAAGUCUGUAACGCAGACUGAGCAAGUUUUACUUUUUCUCUGUGUUUUUUAGUGAGGGGAAAAGGUGUUCUUGCCAUGAUCUGGCAUUACACCCAUUGGAAAACAUGUGUGAAUUUCAGACCAAAGACCAAGUAAAUGUUAAAGUAUUCCUUUCUCUCUCAUUGUCCUCCAUACACGUAUUUCAUUUGGAGGCCUCUCUCAAAUGUAUAGUUUGUAGAUAGUUAUGUGCUGGUACAUUUUUAACAACUGGCUCUAAGAGAAAAGUGAAUAUGCACAUAUACACGCACAAAACAUUUACACAUCUAUAUCCAUAUAUAUAUAUGUUAAUAAAAUCCAUGUUACCACUUGCAGGUUAAUGUAAAA